GAUGAACGCUAGCGGGAGGCCUAACACAUGCAAGCCGAGCGGUAUUGUUUCUUCGGAAAUGAGAGAGCGGCGUACGGGUGCGUAACACGUGUGCAACCUGCCUUUAUCUGGGGGAUAGCCUUUCGAAAGGAAGAUUAAUACUCCAUAAUAUAUUGAACGGCAUCGUUUAAUAUUGAAAGCUCCGGCGGAUAGAGAUGGGCACGCGCAAGAUUAGCUAGUUGGUGAGGUAACGGCUCACCAAGGCGAUGAUCUUUAGGGGGCCUGAGAGGGUGAUCCCCCACACUGGUACUGAGACACGGACCAGACUCCUACGGGAGGCAGCAGUGAGGAAUAUUGGUCAAUGGGUGCAAGCCUGAACCAGCCAUCCCGCGUGAAGGACGACUGCCCUAUGGGUUGUAAACUUCUUUUGUAUAGGAAUAAACCUACCCUCGAGAGGGUAGCUGAAGGUACUAUACGAAUAAGCACCGGCUAACUCCGUG
rnacentral:rRNA from 1 species